ACGCUCGACAGUGCCAGCCGCCGCGGUAAUACGUAGGUGGCAAGCGUUAUCCGGAAUUAUUGGGCGUAAAGCGCGCGUAGGCGGUUUUUUAAGUCUGAUGUGAAAGCCCACGGCUCAACCGUGGAGGGUCAUUGGAAACUGGAAAACUUGAGUGCAGAAGAGGAAAGUGGAAUUCCAUGUGUAGCGGUGAAAUGCGCAGAGAUAUGGAGGAACACCAGUGGCGAAGGCGACUUUCUGGUCUGUAACUGACGCUGAUGUGCGAAAGCGUGGGGAUCAAACAGGAUUAGAUACCCUGGUAGUCCACGCCGUAAACGAUGAGUGCUAAGUGUUAGGGGGUUUCCGCCCCUUAGUGCUGCAGCUAACGCAUUAAGCACUCCGCUUGGGGAGUACGACCGCAAGGUUGAAACUUAAAGGAAUUGGCGGG
rnacentral:rRNA from 1 species